GAUGAACGCUAGCGGCAGGCUUAAUACAUGCAAGUCGAGGGGCAGCAUAAGUAGCAAUACUUGAUGGCGACCGGCAAACGGGUGCGGAACACGUACGCAACCUUCCUUUAAGUGGGGAAUAGCCCGGGGAACCCGGAUUAAUACCCCGUAAUAUUAUGAUGUGGCAUCACAUUAUAAUUAUAGAUUCAUCGCUUAAAGAUGGGCGUGCGCCUGAUUAGGUAGUUGGCGGAGUAAUAGCCCACCAAGCCUGCGAUCAGUAACUGGUGUGAGAGCACGACCAGUCACACGGGCACUGAGACACGGGCCCGACUCCUACGGGAGGCAGCAGUAAGGAAUAUUGGUCAAUGGACGCAAGUCUGAACCAGCCAUGCCGCGU
rnacentral:rRNA from 1 species